UACGAAGGGGGCUAGCGUUGCUCGGAAUUACUGGGCGUAAAGGGCGCGUAGGCGGAUAGUUCAGUUGGGGGUGAAAGCCCGGGGCUCAACCUCGGAACUGCCUUCAAUACUGGCUAUCUUGAGUACGGGAGAGGUGUGUGGAACUCCGAGUGUAGAGGUGAAAUUCGUAGAUAUUCGGAAGAACACCAGUGGCGAAGGCGGCUCACUGGACCGGCAUUGACGCUGAGGUGCGAAAGCGUGGGGAGCAAACAGG
rnacentral:rRNA from 1 species